GGGCAAUUAGGCUGUGGCGCGCACACCCCAUGGAUCACCAGGAUAGAUUUAGCCAAUCUGGCUAGGCAGCUAUGCCCCUCCCCCAUGUGGCUUCCCCAAAGCUGCAUGCUCAAAGAGGAUGACCAGCAGAGGAGGCCUGGUCUUCUGUCAAGGGUAUAUGAGGAGCUGUGCUUCCCUGCUAGAACCUACAGACAAGCCUCCAGCUUGUUCUGGAAAGCCUGAGAGUUUCCACUGGUGAGGGGGUGUUGCAUUUUCAAGUUGGACAUCAUAUGUUGACAAGUCCUGGCUC
rnacentral:snRNA from 1 species